CCCAGAUCUUUUUAUCUGGAUUAAACCCUUUGAACAUCCGGGUCCAGGUGAUCCAGUUAACGAGUGUGAUCUUCAGUGAUUUUCACCUUUGGAACAGGUGCAAUCAUCAUUGUCACCUGGGAGGUUUCUUCACGGUCAGUUUGAAAAGUUCAUGAAGGAAAGAAAACUCACCGGGAAGGUCGCAAUACUGCACCUGAUGACAGGUUACAGAGAAGCGUGUUAGUGUUCAUCAUUGAACCCUCAAAAAGCCCCCUGAAACCCUGUAACCCUCAGCUGAAAGGACUGAGAUGUGUGCUGCGUAAGCUGUUAA